rnacentral:rRNA from 1 species
CAUGUAGGCGGCUGUGCAAGUCGUGUGUUAAAGCCCCCGGCUCAACUGGGGGAGGUCAUGCGAGACUGCGCGGCUGGAGGACAGUAGAGGCACAUGGAACUCCCGGUGUAGCGGUGGAAUGCGUAGAGAUCGGGAAGAACACCCGUGGCGAAGGCGGUGUGCUGGGCUGUUUCUGACGCUGAGAUGCGAAAGUGUGGGGAGCAAACG